ACUCUUCAACCCACCGGUUCCUUGUUGAACCGCUUGUGGUGUUUGGAUCUUGAGCGCUUGCUGGUCGAAAGACUCAGCUCGCUCGUAAUACAUUAGCAUCUCAAUUUCGUAUUCGGAUUGACUCAGCGUAAUAGACUAUUCGCUGAGGACACUGCAAAGUGGCCGAACACUGAAAGAGUAUGGAAGCUUCCAACCCCUCUAGUCACCUUUAG
rnacentral:misc_RNA from 1 species